rnacentral:rRNA from 1 species
AUUGAACGCUGGCGGCAUGCUUUACACAUGCAAGUCGAACGGUAACAGGCCGCAAGGUGCUGACGAGUGGCGAACGGGUGAGUAAUGCAUCGGAACGUGCCCAGUCGUGGGGGAUAACGCAGCGAAAGCUGUGCUAAUACCGCAUACGAUCUAUGGAUGAAAGCGGGGGACCGUAAGGCAUCGCGCGAUUGGAGCGGCCGAUGUCAGAUUAGGUAGUUGGUGGAGUAAAGGCCUACCAAGCCGACGAUCUGUAGCUGGUCUGAGAGGACGACCAGCCACACUGGGACUUGGACACGGCACAGCCUCCUACGGGAGGCAGCAGUGGGGAAUUUUGGACAAUGGGCGCAAGCGUGGUUCAGCAAUGCCGCGUGCAGGAAGAAGGGCUUCGGGUUGUAAACUGCUUUUGUACGGAACGAAACGGCCUGGGUUAAUACCCUGGGCUAAUGACGGUACCGUAAGAAUAAGCACCGGCUAACUACGUGCCAGCCGCCGCGGUAAAAC